rnacentral:rRNA from 1 species
AUUUAUAAUCUUAUUUUACUUAGGUAACCAAAGUAUUGUUGUUUAUGAGUAUCGGUAAGAAAUUAAAUUAGUAAGUGAUAGUGCAUUAGUAUUGUGAGAGGGGGUUUAAAUAUAAUGAAAUUUAGAUUGAAAAGAAGAAAAGUUUAGUAUUUGUACCUUGGGUAUCAGGGUUUACUAAAAAUAUAUUUUAAAAUUAAAUUGUCUCGAACUUUAAAGGGCUAAUAAGUUAUAUAUUUAAUUGUGGAAUAAAUUUUUGUAAUAUUUUAUUAGAAAUGAGAUGUUAGUCGUUUUUUAGGAUAUCUAGUUACUUAAGAAAUCAAUUUAAUUGGGCGGCUUUUACUAAUUGGUCAAUUUGUGGGCUUUUUGGUUUAGGUUAGUAAUAUUCUAGGGGUUAAGCUUUGGAUUAAAGAUUUAUAAGUUAAUGAAUAAGUACGAAAUUUAGAAGGAUUGAAAAUUUCUUUUUGUUUGUUAUAAUUAUUUUUUGGUUAAAUAAUAUUUAUAUUAAUAUUUUAAGUGUUUUAUUAAGUUAAUUGGUUUAAUUUUUUGUUCAAUAAGAUAAUGGUUGAAUUAGUAUAUGCAUAAAUGUAGUUUUGUUGAUUUUGUGUUGGAAAGGUUAUGUUAAGGAACUCGGCAAAUGUAUUUUCCGCCUGUUUAUUAAAAACAUGGCGUUUUGAUUAUAAUUUAAGGUCUGGUCUGCCCGAUGAGGAGUUCAAUGGCCGCGGUAUUUUGACCGUGCAAAGGUAGCAUAAUCAUUAGUUUUUUAAUUGAAAGCUGGAAUGAAUGGCUGGACGAGAAAAUAGCUGUCUCAAUGUAAUUUAAUUAGAAUUUUAUUUUUAAGUAAAAAAGCUUAGAUAGGUUUAAAAGACGAGAAGACCCUAUAGAGUUUUAUAUAAUUAUUUUAUUUACUUUUUUAGUAUAAUUUGGUUAGUAUAGGAAUAUGUAUUUUGUUGGGGCGAUAGGAAAAUUUAAGGAACUUUUCUUUUUUUAUUACAUUGAUUUAUGGUUAUUUGAUCCAUUUUUGUUGAUUAUAAGAUUAAAUUACCUUAGGGAUAACAGCGCAAUUUCUUUUGAGAGUUCUAAUCGACAGAGAAGUUUGUGACCUCGAUGUUGGAUUAAAGUUAAUUUCUGGUGCAGAAGCUAGAAAAUUAGGUCUGUUCGACCUUUAAAACUUUACAUGAUCUGAGUUUAAACCGGUGUGAGCCAGGUUGGUUUCUAUCUUUAAAUUAGUUAAAUAUUUUAGUACGAAAGGACCGAUUAUUUAUAAAAUUUGUUUAAGAAUGUGGUUUAUUAAUUU